UACAGAGUCUUCAAUCUCUUUCAUUACAAAGUGGUUGAAACCGUGGAUGUGCAGUUCGAUGAGACAAAUGGUUCACAAAGAGAGCAACUGCCAAAUGUGCUAGAUGAAGUUCCAGCUAGUGGAUCAAUCAAGCUUAUGGGAACUGGAGAGAUUAUACCUUCUGAAGCUCAUCCUGAAGAAGAACUUAUCAUCUCAGCACCUGAUCAACAUGAAGACAAUGCUCAGCCUGAAGACAUUUCUCCCAACAACAACCCAGAUCAGCAAGAGCAAAGUCUUCACCCUGUACAUCCUCGUGUUGCCAAUGAAGUGCAGAUUGACAGAAUAAUUGACAGCAUCAAUGCACCUGGUCCACUCACUCGUUCAAGGGCAACUCAGCUAGCAAAUUUCUGUGGGCACUUCGCAUUCGUAUCAAUAUCAGAACCCAAGAAAGUUGAAGAAGCCUUCAUGGAACCUGAAUGGAUUCAAGCUAUGCAAGAAGAGCUUCAACAGUUUGAGCUGAAUAAUGUAUGGGAACUGGUCAAGCGUCCUGAUCCAUGGAAGCACAACAUAAUAGGCACCAAAUGGAGAUACCGCAACAAGCAAGAUGAGCAUGGUCAAGUUGUCAGAAACAAAGCUCGUCUCGUUGCUCAAGGAUAUACUCAAGUGGAGGGCAUUGACUUCGAUGAAACAUUUGCUCCUGUGGCUAGGCUUGAAGCCAUACGCAUACUGCUGGCCUAUGAAAAUCAUCAUAACAUACUUCUAUAUCAAAUGGAUGUGAAAAGUGCCUUUCUCAAUGGCAAGAUUGAAGAAGAAGUGUAUGUUGCACAACCGCCUGGUUUUGAAAAUCCAAAACAUCCUGACAUGGUAUACAAGCUCAACAAGGCACUGUAUGGCCUCAAACAAGCCCCUAGGGCCUGGUAUGACACACUCAAAUACUUCCUGAAGAGCAAAGGCUUCAUACCUGGUUUCCUGGAUCCCACUCUUUUCACGAAGACAUAUGAUGGUGAACUGUUUGUGUGCCAAAUAUAUGUGGAUGACAUUAUCUUCGGCUGCACCAAUCAGAAGUACAGUGAAGAGUUUGGAUAUAUGAUGCAGGAGCAAUAUCAGAUGUCCAUGAUGGGGGAACUGAAGUUCUUCCUUGGUCUUCAAAUACGACAACAACUCAAUGGCAUCUUCAUAUCUCAAGAGAAGUAUCUCAAAGAUUGCCUGAAGAAGUUCGGUAUGCAAGACUGCAAAGGCUUCACAACACCAAUGCCAGCCAAACAUCAUCUAGGUCCUGACGACAAUGGUAAAGAGUUCGAUCAAAAGGUAUACUGCUCCAUAAUUGGUUCUUUG
rnacentral:rRNA from 1 species